UUCAAAAUGCUUGAUGGUCACGUGACUCACAUACACUUCAGACAGUUCCAGGAAGUUCUUGGCGGGCGAUUUAAACCUAUAAACACAGAGAGGCAGAACAUCUUUCGGAUUAAACAGCUGUCGUUACUUGCCUUAUCGACAUGUUGGGUUGAGGUCAGCAUGGAUUUAAGGAACUAUUGAGAGGCUCCACGAUUCGCCAUUGCUGGAAAAAAUGGUCCAUUGGAGAGAACGAAGAUGACGGGACUCUCUCUACACAGCUCUGCCUGGAACUAAACGCCCACAUCCAGCACUGUCUGCCUCUGU